GACGAACGCUGGCGGCGUGCUUAACACAUGCAAGUCGAACGGUGAAGCGCUUUCCUUUUUGGUUGGUGUGGAUGAGUGGCGAACGGGUGAGUAACACGUGAGUAACCUGCCCCCUUCUUCUGGAUAACCGCAUGAAAGUGUGGCUAAUACGGGAUAUUCUGCGCCUGCUGCAUGGUGGGUGUGGGAAAGAUUGUGCCUUUGGGUGUUUUCGGUGGGGGAUGGGCUCGCGGCCUAUCAGCUUGUUGGUGGGGUGAUGGCCUACCAAGGCGGUGACGGGUAGCAGGCCUGAGAGGGUGGACGGUCACACUGGGACUGAGACACGGCCCAGACUCCUACGGGAGGCAGCAGUGGGGAAUAUUGCACAAUGGGCGCAAGCCUGAUGCAGCGACGCCGCGUGAGGGAUGGAGGCCUUCGGGUUGUGAACCUCUUUCGGCAGUGAAGCAGGCCUGCUCCUUGUGGGUGGGUUGACGGUAGCUUGAGAAGAAGCGCCGGCUAACUACGUG
rnacentral:rRNA from 1 species